GUAGGUGGCAAGCGUUGUCCGGAAUUAUUGGGCGUAAAGCGCGCGCAGGGCGGUCCUUUAAGUCUGAUGUGAAAGCCCACGGCUCAACCGUGGAGGGUCAUUGGAAACUGGGGGACUUGAGUACAGAAGAGGAAAGCGGAAUUCCAAGUGUAGCGGUGAAAUGCGUAGAGAUUUGGAGGAACACCAGUGGCGAAGGCGGCUUUCUGGUCUGUAACUGACGCUGAGGCGCGAAAGCGAGGGGAGCAAACAGGAUUAGAUACCCUGGUAGUCCACGCCGUAAACGAUGAGUGCUAAGUGUUAGGGGGUUUCCGCCCCUUAGUGCUGCAGCUAACGCAUUAAGCACUCCGCCUGGGGAGUACGGCCGCAAGGCUG
rnacentral:rRNA from 1 species